UACGUAGGGUGCAAGCGUUGUCCGGAAUUAUUGGGCGUAAAGAGCUCGUAGGCGGCUUGUCGCGUCGGCUGUGAAAACCUGGGGCUCAACCCCGGGCCUGCAGCCGAUACGGGCAAGCUAGAAUUCGGUAGGGGAGACUGGAAUUCCUGGUGUAGCGGUGAAAUGCGCAGAUAUCAGGAAGAACACCAAUGGCGAAGGCAGCUCUCUGGGACGGUACUGACGCUGAGACGCGAAAGCGUGGGGAGCGAACAGG
rnacentral:rRNA from 1 species